UCAGUUACGCGCCUCAACUACCGUCUUCGGGUCUUCGGUCGUGUCGGUGGUGGUCCGAAUUUAAGUGAAUUUCGCGAGUGUUUUGCGAUCCUGCCUGGAUCAGAUAGUAUUACUUGCGAUACAGAUCGAGAGGGAAUAAUCGAACGUAAGCAGUAAGGCCCGAACGACGAUGAUGCGAUCGAUCCGUGCACCAAAUGCAUCGGAUAUGCAUUUGCCGGACGCGAGUGUCGGGAGUGCCAUAUAUAUAUAUUAAGUGAUUUGUGUGUUUUAUUUCGGUCGGCUUAAAGUGGAGUAAAUCCACAAGUGUCUGUGUGAAGUGAUAGUGAGCGUGUUGCUGGUGCUUCACCAGUUCAAGGUCAUUGUGGAUUACGAGAAGAAAGCAUUCCGUUUCAAGGUCGAGAUAGAGAGAGGAGAAAUGGCGCCGGCUCUCUUCCGUCUCUUUCUCGUCUGUGGAAAGAUUUGCCAUCGACUUCGAGGAUAAAUCGUGCGAGCAAAGUUGCGUAAUCAAAGUUGCAUCCACGUCGAUGAACGAAUGAAAUCAUGGAGAUUGACAGGGUCGGGAAUUAACGGAUGUUGACGGAGAAGGCGUUAUCGAGUUUAAAGCGACAUUGGAUCCUAAGCUACCACAUGGCAGAAUCCUCUCUGUCCGCUCUUCUGAUUCCGUGAGUGCCGAUGUUUCCUGGCUGAAGGACGUGCGAACAUAAAAUCGCGGAUCGAUGAGGACGGGACUAUUUUGGUCAGGGAUCAUCAGCAGUUGUUGGACAGACGACUUGGCCUUUUUCAAGCACGGUUGGAAAUGCGACGCAUUAGGAUUCGAAGAUCGCGAACGAACGAUCCUCGAAUGUUGAUCACAUUCGGUUGUCCUCGAUGGAGCGGUUUUCGGAUUUAGAUCGGCGGCAGCUUCCACAAUUUCCAUCGGUUCGCCUUCGCAUUUACCUCUACUUCGUCCCGUCAAUUCAACUAGCGACGUCGGGUUGUCGUUGACCGUCCUCGUUGUUGGAUGAGUGUUCGACGCGGAGCUGCUCUCCUCUUCGGCUUUCCCACGUGACGCUUCUCCUCGCGUGACGUUUAUAGAUGCGGGAAUCUGCGCUCCUUCCUUCGCUCCGAGUCGUCGCUUACCCGGAUCCAGAUACGUGGACUUGCCGCUCAUGUUUGGCCCAGUUAUCAGGUGAAAAUUGUACGGGGUCGAGGCGUUCUGCGCUCACAAAGAAUAAUAAGGCGUGAAAAUACAUAGAUUUGCGGAUGACACAUUUUCGACACUCACCACAUCGUUAGCUACGGGUCUCACGUAUUCUGGAUUACUGCUGAUUUGCGCCAACGACAGAACCAGGUCUAAUUCCGCCACAUCGGCGCUCAGUUGAAACAAGCAGCCGACAUGCUGUCUUAUAUCCUCCAGUAAAUAAGUCAACAAUCUGCAAAUCGUUACUAUUUGUUCAUACGAAAUUAAUACAAUUUUAUAACAGGAAGCUUUGCACGAUCAACUCACGUGUUACUCAUCACGUAGAUCUCCUCGCAAGCCUUCUUGCACUGUUUAUUUAACGUCAAUAGAGCUGUUGUGGUCAUCGUAAAGGAUCUCCUGUUCUGUCGCGUCUACGUAAUCGCAAAAAUUAAAAUUAAAAUCUUAGUAAAAUUGUAAUAAAAAUUAAAAUAAAAUUUCGUAAACGAAAUGUCGGCGAUAAAUUACCUGAAUAAAUUCCUCUGGCAAGUCUGAGAUUGCCAUGUUGACAUUUUGCUGUAUCGCAACGUUUAUAUGGUAGCUCAAACUCGUAUUAUAAUCCAAGGAUAAUGGGAGCUUGUAUUUCACGGCUAACUGCUCUACCAUAUCUAUUUAAAGACCCGUCAAAUGAGGAAUAUAUACAUAUAAUUUUUCGAAUAAUUUUAAUAUUAUAUUCUUAUGUAUACUAUAUAUACUUCUCAUGUCGCUAAUUAAUUCGCAAUAAACUUGUCGAGCGACGUCCAACAAUUCGUUGAUAUCAGCUUUUAUAGCGAAGCAUCGCUGCAUACUUGAGGAAGUGCAACCCUUCACGAAUCUCGCAUCCGUGUGUAUCAAUGUCAAAAUCUUGUCCUUUAUAACACGGAAUUCCGAGUUUUGUAAAUUCUGCACGUUCGAGGGAGAAAAUCAUUGUAUCGAUAAGAACGUAAAUAAUCGUAAAAGUAAAAAAUAUAUUGUUAUAUAAAUUAUUAAA